GUCCUCCGACGGCCCCGCCAGCCUCCUCCGACCCGCGUCGGGUCUGGACGCGCCUUAACUCUCUCGGCGCUGGACUGCCUCCCCGGGCCGGGCCUCUGCCGAAGGAGGCAGAAAACGAAAUCCAGAAGUUGCCCAAGAGCACACAGCUGCUAUGCAGUGGCACAGCCCAGGUCCUUCUGACCACCUCCAGUGGCAACAAAUGACUUCUGCAAAUUACAUCUGCCUGCCCACAGGUCUCUGCCACAGCAUUUCAGUCCCACCCAUUGUUUAGACAACUUGCCUGAGCAUGGACAGGAUGCCCAAUCUCUCGCUUGUCAGCCUCCAACCCUGGGACAACUCAAGGGCUUCAUUUCCCUGUCUCUGCCACUCAGAGGAGAGAAGCUCAGACAAUUCUACAGUUGCAGGCACCCAAGCAGACAUGCUUCCCUAUCCCCUAAAGUCAACCAUUUACCUGUGGUUCAGACUCCCACUCGAAGCUGUGUUUUAAAAAUCUUUCCUUCCUUUCUUCUUUUCCCUCUGGAGAACAAAGUAUGACCAGAAAGGAGGAAUAAGACCAUGACUACAGGCACAACUAAUUUGACAAAGUGUAAAUGAUUGUUUGUGUUUAAAACAAUGCCAAAUUCAAUAAAACAAUGAUGUUUCUUUUUUGCUGGUCAAUUUGACACUUAAAGAGUAGGUUCUCCUGAAUAUUUCCCUGCUCAACUGGUGCUCUUGGCAUUGUGAAUAAACAGAGCUGAUGAUAACAUCCAUCAGAGAGCUAAGCACACAAAGUGGGUGAUAAAGUCAACAAGAAGCUGAAAACAAGAUUUACCAUGGAUAAGCUGCCAAGAGUUGGCUCUAGAUCCUAAGUGGACACUGUGGCUCAUCCAUCUUACCCCGUCAGCUUUCCACCCCAACAGUGUCAUCCCUGCUUCAACACUCAUGAUAAGAGAAGGAAAGCAGAAGAGAAGGAAAACGCAGGAGUCAAGUACAGAAGAUGAGUACACAGCAUAGACAACCUGACUAAGAUAAAAUGCAAAGACUCAGUGGUAAAUUCCUAAUGAAUGCUAUGAGAGAAUAAAGAAGAGGACUUUAAAAGCCAAAACAACCAACCAAGUAAAGGUCAUACUCUAGAAGAGCAAGUAGACACAAAUGAUUGCUGGGCUUCCUUUAAGCAACACUUUGUUCUGUGCCCUAGCCUAUUCAAGCCCAGCUAAAGAGGGUCUAGAGUCUGUCUAUUGUUCAAAGACUUGAAAUUGUUUUCCUUGGAUUAUCCCCAAUCCUGUAUUUUCCUUGCCUCUCUUUUCAAAAGUAGGUUAAGGAUGUUCAGAUUUCCCUCAAGCAUCUUAAUGAGUUAGUCAUGAUUACAAUUGCAUCUUUUAAAUUGCCCAACCCGUUGAAAGGCUGCCAUGAAAGGAGCUUCUACAAACACAAGCUGGGCUGUGUUUUUCAUUUUCUUAUGUUGCAAAAUGUGAAUGAGGAGUUACCUCCAACUGUGUGAUUAGCAUAAAAGGUGCUGAAGCAGAGAGGAGGUCAGUAGACUACUGUCUCGAUGGAAAAUGUUGCUGUUGUUCCUGCAUGAAACAUACGUUGAGACUCAAAUAAGGAGAAGCUUUCUGCUACCAAACGUGGAAGGGUUUCACAGAACUCAUGGCACAUAAUAAAUGCUCAAAAUUUG